AAAUGGUUCUAGGCAUGGUUUCUUUACUUCUUCUCAUGGUUUAAAACAGGGAGACCCUAUUUCCCCUUCACUGUUUAUGCUAGCUGCUGAAGUUUUGUCAAGAUCACUCAAUAAUCUACUUUUGAAUCCUAAUUUCAUCCCAUGAACAUAAAUGGACCCCAAAUUACUCACCUUACUUAUGCAGAUGACAUUGUCAUAUUCAGUAGUGGGAACAGCAAAUCUGCCAAACUGGUCAUGAAGCAAAUUGUUAAAUAUGAGAGGGUCUCUGGACAAUUGGUUAAUCCUGAUAAAAGUUGUUUUCUAACUUGUCCAAAAACUUGUGCUUAUAGAAUCAAUAGAUUAAGAAAGUGUACUGGUUUCAUGGACAAAGAAUUCCCUUUUACUUACCUUGGGUGCCCCAUAUACAUUGGAAAGAAGAAAAUUAGUUACUUUGAUAGUAUGGUGACUAAAGUUUUUAAAAGGCUAAAUGGUUGGCAAGGAAACAUGCUAUCUUGUGGGGGUAGAUAGAUUCUAAUCAAAAGUGUGAUCCAAGCUCUUCCUACUUAUAUUCUCAGUGCCAUUAAUCCUCCAAAAAGAACUUUGGAACUUAUUGAAAAACACAUGUGUAACUUUUUUUGGGGGACUGAUAAUGGUAAAAACAAGUACCACUGGUGUGAUUGGGAUAAGCUUUGUUUCCCCAAAGAUGAAUCUGGUAUUGGCAUCAGGAAUAUGAUGGAUAUCUCAAAUACUCUUGCUGUUAAGAGAUGGUGGAGAUUUAGAUCAAUGAAUUCACUGUGGGCUGAUUUUCUAAAGGCAAAAUAUUGCAUUAGAAAACAUCAUGUUGCUAAGAAAUGGGUUCCUGGUGACUCUCAAGCAUGGAACAUUUGCUAUGGGCAAGAGACAAAAGUGAAAAGUGCAUUAACUGGAAAAUCAACUCUGGAGAUUGUAAUUUUUGGUGGGAUGACUGGACAGGAAUGGGCCCUUUAGCUCAAAUAUGUCCUGACUUCAUGAUUAGUAAUGGACAAAGGAUCAAGGUGAGAGAUUUUAUGAACAAUAAUAGGUGGAAUAUCCAGAAGCUCUACAACACCAUGUCAGGUCAUAUUGCUCUUUUCAUUAGUUCUGUUGGUAUUGGGGAUGUGAAUGACAUGGAUUAUGCAGUGUGGAAGGCUACUGAUAAUGGUCGAUAUUCAAAUAAAUCUGCUUGGACCAUCAUUAGAAGUCUUAGACAAAAAGCACCUUUGAUUACUAAAAUCUGGCACAGUGCAGUUCCCUUCAAGAUCUCUUUCCUUAGUUGGAGAUUGUUACACAACAAAUUACCUUUCAAAGAUGCUGUGGCUAAAUUCGGUAAACAAGGCUUCAAAGAUUGUAUAUGUUGCAUCUCACCACAAGAUGAAACACCUCAGCAUGCUUUUAUUGAAGGAAGGUUGCUCAUCAUAUGUGGAACAAAAUUGGUGCCCCUUUGGGCUUUAAACAUCACAAUAUUCCUUUCAGAGGUUUACUUGAAGAAUGGUGGAAUAGAAAAGCCAAAAACAAGGUCCACAAAUUUACUAUGCAGAUUGCUCCAACGAUGAUAUUGUGGGAGAUAUGGAAAGCUUGGAGUUCUUGCAGAUUUGGGGAACAAAAGAAGUUUGAUUUAUACAAGAUGGAAAUGCAAAUCACCUGGAACAUGAAAGCUGCAAUAAUUGUUGCAUAUCCCAACAUCAAUGUAGAAGGCAACUGGUGUAACUGUUGUGACAUGAUUGAAAAACUUAGCCCUGUGGUAAAAUGCAUCCCUGUAUGUUGGAGAAAACCAGAGAUGGGAUGGUUUAAACUUAACACUGAUGGCAGUUUUGUGGAUAUUACUAACAGUGCCGGUAUAGGUGGCAUUCUAAGAAAUGAGGAAGGGGAUCUAAUAAUGGCUUUUUCUAUCUCUGUGGAUUGUGAGAGUCACAAUAUUGCAGAAGCAUUGGCUGCUGAGCAUGGCAUUAGAUGGUGCAUGAAUCAUGGCUUUGAUAAUGUGCAAAUUGAGAUAGAGUCCUAACUCAUAGUCAAGAUGUUGCUCAACAAAGAUACAGACAACUUGAAGCUCAAGCAGAUCAUCAACACCACAAAUGGCUUUCUUAAAGAUGCAACUGUGCAAAUUUCUAACUGUUACAGAGAGGCUAACAUGGUGGCUGAUUUCCUUGCUAAAAUGUCUUCAACAAGUAGAAGGAGGACCUUAUAUCUUUCUCAAAGGGAUUUACCAAGAGAAGUCAAGGGGCUAAUUCAACUUGAUAAGCAACAACUUCCUACUUUUAAAAGAAGAUUUGAAAAAUGUAACUUCUUUGUAAGCUAGAAUAUCUUGAUAGCUAGGGAGGAUUCUGUUCAUUUGGCUAUCUCCACCCUUUUAGAUUGUUUUUACAAUCUCUUUUGUAGAUUAGAGGCAAGGUUCCAUGUCCCCCUCUAGUCAUUGUAAAUUAUCUUUACUUAUAUAAUACAUGGUAGGGGUCAAGCCAAACCCCACACACCAUAGGUUCACAACCUAAUGGUGAUGGCUUAAUAUAUAUAUAAAAAAAAAGGUCAAACUGGAAACAGAAUAAACUUUAGGUGUAAUUAAGCACAUUGAAGUGAAGUGCAAAAUUCUACACCUUGCACCUUCAUUAAAUAUUUACUAAGAAGAUAGUGGUGCUCAAGUGCCAUCUGGUCUUUAUUUUCAUGGUUAAUGCAACUGUUACUAAAAAAAAAAAAACAAUGGGCAGCCCGGUGCACUAAGCUCCCGCUAUGCGCGGGGUCCGGGGAAGGGCCGGACCACAAGGGUCUAUUGUACGCAGCCUUACCUUGCAUUUCUGCAAGAGGCUGUUUCCAUUAAUGCAACUGUUACUAAGAAUAAUAAAAGGUCUCACCGUACUUUGAGUCUUUCAAUAUGGCAAACUAAUUUCUACUGUAACAUUUGGUCUUUAAUUUUUACCAUAUUUGAUUUGGUGAUUGACUAUUAAUUGAAGGUAGAUGUUGGCUUCAGGUCAAUUUUGGGCAAAGAGAAAUCAACAAUUCUGCAUAUAAAGAAGGUAAGUGAGAAAGGAAGAAACAGCAGUAGUGGAAGCUAAAAGGAGAUGAAAUUAGCUGACUAAAAAGGCGCUCAAUAAGUGGGAUAAAAAAAAGAACAAUAACUUCGUUUAUCAUUUGGGAUCAGCGAAAGCUUGCAGCACAACUUGCUGCCUUUUCUAAAGGAAGCUACAUUGCCUAAAUUUGACCUGGUUAGUUUUCGCACUACAUAUCUAUUGUUUUCUCAAUUGUUGGGAAUGAAAUUACACAGGGUGAUUUGGGCAUAGAUGGACUCUUACCUCUGUUUGGAUGGUUGUUUCCCGUGGCUCAUUAAUGUACAAUAUGGUAUGGUACAACAUGGUGUUGUAUUAUAUUAUACUGUAUUAAUGAACACAAUGUUUGGAUAAACUGUAUCGUUUGUUACUGUAGUUACUUUGCUCUUUAAGGUUUUAAGAAUGUGAAAGAAAAGAUUGUCUUGGAGUGUUUGGGCCAUUCUUGAUUGCUGUUUGGUUCUUGGGUUUAUGUUGUUUUGAUAAAAAUGUUGACCUUUGCAAAAUUUUGGAUUGCUACUGUGUAUUGACCCUUUUGGGAGUCAAAAGCUUGAUGAUUUCUAGGGUCUAUGGAUAAUUAGGGCUUUUCGUCGAGUUAUCGAUUUGGUGAGCUCUUUUCCUACUUUACCCAUUUGGUUGCCUACGUUUUUACUCUCUUUAUUGCUACUAUAAUUGCUGCUAUUGUUGAAUCUGUGCCAAAGUUGAAGUCUUUAUUAGGCUUGGUGGGUAGAAUUCAGUCCAUGUAGUUGCUGCUUUUGUAGAAUUUGUGCUAAAUUUGAAGUUUUUAUUACACUGAUAGAGGGAAUUCAGUCCAUGUAUUUGGUGCUGUUGUUGAAUUUGUGCUAAAUUUGAAGUCUUUAUCAAACUUGAUGGGUCGAGUUCAGUCCAUUUUUUUUCAAGUAUUACAACACAAGUUUUACCUAUAAGAUACCAAGACUGUUGGCCAACAACUGCCAGAAACAUAUAAACUACAUAUCACCUAAAAAAAAUCAUUUUAAUCCUCGAUAUAUGUUGUCUUAUCUUUUCAAAGCAGUUGUUUCUCUCAAACCAUAUUGUCCAUAAAACACAUAGGGGGGAUUGUCAUUGCUGCAUGCACUUUUAUUAGAAACAUCAAGAAUAGGCAUACCAUCUAACACAUUGUUAACCAAUAUAAGUCUUCCCCUAAAUGACAAGUUAUGGUUUUUUCCACUGAACCAAUUUAUUACUACACCUAUUCAAAACUCCCUGCCACAUCUUCUGGUCAUUCUUUUUUAGCUCCUAAAGGUAGGCCUAAAUAAGUAGUAGGAAGCUACUCUAGCUUACAACUCAUAAUGUGUACCAGAUCAUCAAUGCAAUGUUCUGCAUUAAUUCUGAACACUUUAGGUUCACUCUAAUCCUGACACAACGUCAAAAACCUAAUAGAACUCCCUUUACAUGUAAAUGUUGAUAUUUCUCUACUUCAUACAAAAUUGGAGUAUCAUCUGCAUAAAAUAUGUGUAAGACUGUUAGUUCUUCUGUUGUUCUGGUGGUUUAAGUGGUAAUUGAGAAAUAUAAUGAUCUUUUUCUUUACUGCUAUUAUUGUUAUUGUUGUUGGAGCUCCACUAUUCCACUUAAAAAAAGGUCCAUAAACAGAAACACUAAAUCACCUUAAUGUAUAAAACCAAUAUGCAAAUCCUCUGUUUCAAGCUUCUUCAUAAUCAUAAAAUGUUACAAAUAUGUUAAAUCAUGAAAUAGGAAAUACUUUGCAGUGACCUCUUCUGCUUGGACCAGAGGGUGGUAUUCUGCUUUUGACCAGAAAAUGACGACAAUUACUACUACUCAUGCUGCUCCCAGUUCUUGCACAGUUGCAGCCAUUAUUAUGCACUAACCUGGCCAUGCAAUAUAUUUACUGAUGAAGUGUGUGUUCGUUUGGUUGUUUUGUCUUUGGGUAUGUGAAGAGAGAGCAUUUAUAUGUAGCGGUGUUAAAUUUGUAUAUAUAAUAAUGAUAAAGUUUUGAAAGGAUUCAAAAAACAGAUUAUAUUUUAUUUGCAAUAUUUUGCUUUAGUUUCAAGAGUAAAGCGGUCAACAUGGCCUUAGGGCUUACUUAUUGAAUGGUCAUUCUAAGUCUGAAGUUGAAGAUGGAGUUGCGUUUGGUUAUAGUUUUUGCAAAUGUAGCUAUAUCUUCUUUUUUGGGUUGAACACAGUUUAUUAAUUGCAGCUCUAUCAGUGUUCCUGUCAAACUUUAGUUUAACAUGCUUAGUUGCAUCUUCUUUCUCCAUUUUUGAGAAAACUAAAAUAGAUAGGGGCAUGUCUUGAAAGAUACUUGUUAGCUGAUUGUGCCUUUUGGUCUUUGCACAAGUAUUGAUGUUUCUUCAACUAAAGCAAAACCAGCAAGCAGAAAGACAUAUUUUGGCAUGCUUCUCCCAUUUAAAAUUGAAUUGCUAUCAGUUAAUUAAUUUUACUAAGAGUCCCUUUUGUUUUGUGCUUGCUACCAUAGGAUCAUAUUUUUCACUUAUUGUAAUUUCAUAAUUAUCUCUUUCUAAAUUAUUGGAUUGUGAAGUGCAUUUAAGCCGGAAUGUCAGGAGCGUGGUAUCUAGUUACAUAAUAGGCAGAGGUGUCUUGACCCCUUAUUGUGUAACUUGUCAAAAAUUCAAUGGGUUGGCCCAAUAAUAUUUUCUUGACAGAUUAAAUUGGGUUGUAACCCAACUGACCCAUCUUCUACAUGAGUCAUUUUGGGACAGUUGAUAAGUCAAUAACCAACCCGUGAACUGAAUAGCAAAAUAACAAUGUUCAGCUUCAGAGAGGGUGAAAAACCCUGGUGGGUCUACUACUUUUCUGUAAGCUCUAUCCUUGUAUUAGUGGUGAAAUAGGUAAUUUCCUAGUUGAUUAUGAUGUUAUUCUUAACACAAUACAAUUGUUUUUGUGAAAUUGUUCGAAAUACAAAAUUGAUUUUGGAAUUUUGUUUGAUGUUCGUGAAUUUGGGUAUGUUAAUGACAAACAUAACAUUUGAACC